CUUGCUUGCUUCACUCUACAGUUGACGUCGCUCUUUCCAGCCUUGUGAGAACAACUCGUCACCACAAUGCCACCAAGACGUCACAUGUACGUCCACGGGUGUGUUGACGCGCAGUGUCUCAGAGGAGUCGACAGCAGCUAUGGAUGGGACAAGCUCAGCUUUUCUCCGAAGCAGCAGGCUCAGACAACUCGGCAUUACAAGAAAACGUGGAGUUUUUGUACCGCUGUUUUUUUGUUUUGUUCUGUUUUUUUACGUCCCUGACAGGAAUUUAUUAAUGUUGUUUAAAGAAAAAAAAAAAAAAAGAAAAAAAACACACACACAGGCAGAGGGCACUUUUUAAGAGGAGGCAAACAAGGGCAGGGGCUCAAGCACCCUUUGGGCCCUAUGUGUGCACGUGCCUGCUCAGGACUUUCGUAUUGUGAGGCAGACGCACUAACCCCUCUUCCACCGUGAAGCCUUUAUUACACUUUUUAGUGUUUUUUUUUAUUAUUGUGCCGCAAGAUUGUUGUCAAUGGACUUCUCAAAAAGCGGAACGAGACUGAGUUCAUAUAUUUGAGGCUGUCUUUUAUUGUGGAUCAACAAGACAUGGAGGGGAAGUUACACAGAGCACAUCAAGAUUGGCUUCUUCAUAAAUAAACAUUUAUAAAUAGGCAUAGAUAAAUACAGUACACCAUUAAAUAUGUCCGACGUAAGACAACAAUAGGCCUCGAUCAAUAGAGUAGACCAUUAAUAAACAUAAAUAGAGCAGACCAUUAAUAAACAUAAAUAGAGUGGACCAUGAAAAAGAUAGAUAAAUAGAGUAGAAAUACGUCCAACAUAAGUUAGAACAAAGUGUUUGAUACAAACAUCAUGUGUGUUGACAACUUCAACACUUCUUCAAGUAGGUUUGUGCACGUGUUAAAAAGUGCUGAGUAGUCCUCGGUCACUGUUCCGCUCCUUC